rnacentral:rRNA from 1 species
UGGGGGAUCUUGCGCCAAUGCGCGAAAGCGUGACGCAGCGACGCCGCGUGGGGGAUGAAGGCCCUCGGGUUGUAAACCCCUUUCGGCAGGGACGAAGGGAAACUGACGGUACCUGCAGAAGAAGUCCCGGCUAACUACGUGCCAGCAGCCGCGGUAACACGUAGGGGACGAGCGUUGUCCGGAUUCAUUGGGCGUAAAGCGCGCGUAGGCGGCUCGGAAAGUCGGUCGUGAAAUGCCGGGGCUCAACCCCGGGACUGCGUUCGAUACUUCCGAGCUGGAGGUAGGUAGGGGAGAUCGGAAUUCCUGGUGUAGCGGUGAAAUGCGCAGAUAUCAGGAGGAACACCGGUGGCGAAGGCGGAUCUCUGGGCCUUACCUGACGCUGAGGCGCGAAAGCUAGGGGAGCGAACAGGAUUAGAUACCCUGGUAGUCCUAGCCGUAAACGUUGGGUGCUAGGUGUGGGCGGACAUCGACCCCGUCCGUGCCGAAGCUAACGCAUUAAGCACCCCGCCUGGGGAGUACGGCCGA